rnacentral:rRNA from 1 species
ACUCAAAUGAAUUGACGGGGGCCCGCACAAGCAGCGGAGCGUGUGGUUUAAUUCGAUGCAACGCGAAGAACCUUACCUAGGCUUGACAUGACGGAAGUAGAACCCCGAAAGGGGAACGACUCGUAAAGUCGAGAACCGCCACAGAUGCUGCAUGGCUGUCGUCAGCUCGUGCCGUGAGGUGUUGGGUUAAGUCCCGCAACGAGCGCAACCCUCGGCGUUAGUUACCAUGUCUAACGCGACUGCCGGUUUCAAACCGGAGGAAGGUGGGGAUGACGUCAAGUCAGCACGGCUCUUACGUCUAGGGCUACACACACGCUACAAUGGCCGGUACAACGGGAAGCGAAAGGGCGACCUGGAGCAAAUCCUAUCAAAGCCGGUCUCAGUUGGGAUUGCAGGCUGAAACUCGCCUGCAUGAACGCGGAGUUGCUAGUAACCGCAGGUCAGCACACUGCGGUGAAUACGUUCCCGGGCCUUGUACACACCGCCCGU